rnacentral:rRNA from 1 species
CAAUAGCGUAUAUUUAAGUUGUUGCAGUUAAAAAGCUCGUAGUUGGAUUUCGGGUGGGACGCAGCGGUCUCGCAUUGCGUUUGUACUGCUGCAGCCCUCCUUCUUGCCGGGGGCGGCCUCUCGGACUUCACUGUCUGGGGGUCAGAAUCGGCGAUGUUACUUUGAGUAAAUUAGAGUGUUCAAAGCAAGCUUACGCUCUGAAUAUAAUAGCAUGGGAUAACACGACAGGACUCUGGCCUAUCGUGUUGGUCUAUAGGACCAGAGUAAUGAUUAAGAGGGACAGUCGGGGGCAUUCGUAUUCCGUUGUCAGAGGUGAAAUUCUUGGAUUUACGGAAGACGAACAUCUGCGAAAGCAUUUGCCAAGGAUGUUUUCACUGA